rnacentral:rRNA from 1 species
GAUGAACGCUGGCGGCGUGCCUAAUACAUGCAAGUCGAACGCUGGAAAUCUAGCUUGCUAGAUUGAAGGAGUGGCGAACGGGUGAGUAAUACAUAAGCAACCUACCCACGAAGACUGGGAUAAUCUCUGGAAACGGGGACUAAUACCGGAUAGGUAAUCGGAAGGCAUCUUCUGAUUAUUAAAGGUUAAAAACACUGGUGGAUGGGCUUAUGGCGCAUUAGUUAGUUGGUGAGGUAACGGCCCACCAAGACGAUGAUGCGUAGCCGGCCUGAGAGGGUGAACGGCCACAUUGGGACUGAGACACGGCCCAGACUCCUACGGGAGGCAGCAGUAGGGAAGUUUCGGCAAUGGGGGAAACCCUGACCGAGCAACGCCGCGUGAGUGAUGACGGCCUUCGAGUUGUAAAGCUCUGUUGUAAGGGAAGAACGGUAGAUAGAGAAUAUCUAAAUGACGGUACCUUACCAGAAAGCCACGGCUAACUACGUG